rnacentral:rRNA from 1 species
GAUGAACGCUGGCGGCGUGCCUAACACAUGCAAGUCGAACGAGGUCCAUGAGAGCUUGCUCUCGGAAGACCUAGUGGCGAACGGGUGAGUAACACGUGAGAAACCUGCCUCGGAGUGGGGAAUAACUCGGGGAAACUCGAGCUAAUACCGCAUAUCUUCACAUGAUCGCAUGGUCGAGUGAAGAAAGAAUUUCGCUCUGAGAGGGUCUCGCGGCCUAUCAGCUUGUUGGUGGGGUAACGGCCCACCAAGGCAACGACGGGUAGCUGGUUUGAGAGAACGAUCAGCCACACUGGGACUGAGACACGGCCCAGACUCCUACGGGAGGCUG